GCCAGACACAGUGGUGUGUGCCUGUAGUCCCAGCUACUCGAGAAGGUGAGACUGGAGGAUCACUUGAGUCCAGGAGUUCUGGGCUAUAGUGAGCUAUGCCAAUCGGUGUCCACACUAAGUUUGGCAUCAAUAAGGUGACCUCCCAGGAGUGGGGGGCCACCAGGUUACCUAAGGAGGGGUGAACCAGCCCAGGUCAGAAACAGCAGGUGAAACUCCUGUGCUGAUCAGUAGUGGGAUUGUGCCUGUGAAUAGCCACCACACUCCAGCCUGGGCAACAUAGCCAGACCCCGUCUCUA
rfam:Otolemur garnettii contig138612, whole genome shotgun sequence.